AUGGGGGGCGGCCGCCGCCGGAGGGACGGCGCGCCGGAGUUCGCAAAUGACGUCGUCCCCAACGACCUUCUCGAGCAGGUGUUCCUGCGGCUGCCGUCGCCUCUCCACCUCGUCCGCGCCGCAUGCACCUGCAGGCGCUGGCGCCGCGUAAUCGCAGCGGACGGCGGGUGCUUCCUCCGUCGGUUCCGCUCGCUCCUCGGCGCGUCGUCCGCCCACAUUGUCGGCCACUACCGUGUCGACGAGCGCCGCUACCGCUUCGCGCGUCCGCCUGGAUGUAACCCCGUCUUCGUCCCACGGCGUACUCCGUGUCCGGCAGGACGGAAGAGGAGAACUCAGCGGCGUCCUUGUCCAGAGCAAGAACGAGCUGGUCUCUGCCGACCCUCCAGUAGGCGGACCCGCCGGUGUUGCCUGCGAAGUAGAUGCUGUUGA
rnacentral:rRNA from 1 species